rnacentral:rRNA from 1 species
UACGUAGGUGGCAAGCGUUGUUCGGAAUUAUUGGGCGUAAAGGGCGCGUAGGCGGUUUGUCGCGUCUGCUGUGAAAACUCGGGGCUUAACUCCGGGCCUGCAGUGGGUACGGGCAGACUAGAGUGAUGUAGGGGAGACUGGAAUUCCUGGUGUAGCGGUGAAAUGCGCAGAUAUCAGGAGGAACACCGAUGGCGAAGGCAGGUCUCUGGGCAUUAACUGACGCUGAGGAGCGAAAGCAUGGGGAGCGAACAGG